GGGGGAUAACAUUCCUAACGGAAUGCUAAUACCGCAUAACAUCACAGAUCGCAUGGUCUGUGCUCAAAGAUGGCCUCUACAUGUAAGCUAUCACUUGAAGAUGGUCCCGCGUCCCAUUAGCUUGUUGGUAGGGUAACGGCCUACCAAGGCUUCGAUGGGUAGCUGGCCUGAGAGGGUGACCGGCCACACUGGGACUGAGACACGGCCCAG
rnacentral:rRNA from 1 species